GCCCCCAUAGCUUAACCCCAAAGCAUGGCACUGAAGAUGCCAAGACGGUGUCAACCCACCUGCGGGCA
rnacentral:tRNA from 1 species